rnacentral:rRNA from 1 species
CCCUUAGAUGUUCUGGGCUGCACGCGCGCUACACUGAUGCACUCAACGAGUUUACGACCUUGCCCGAUAGGGUUGGGUAAUCUUUUUAAAAUGCAUCGUGAUGGGGAUAGAUUAUUGCAAUUAUUAAUCUUCAACGAGGAAUUCCUAGUAAGCGCGAGUCAUCAGCUCGUGCUGAUUACGUCCCUUCCCUUUGUACACACCGCCCGUCGCUCCUACCGAUUGAGUGCUCAGGUGAAUAAUUCGGACUGCAGCAAUGUUUGGAUCCCGAACGUUGCAGCGGAAAGUUUAGUGAACCUUAUCACUUAGAGGAAGGAGAAGUCGUAACA